CGCAAUUCCUACAGCUCUUCUCAUAUUUGGAAUAAAAAUAUUUACUGUAAACAUCCAGGAAGUUAGGAUGUAAAGGCCUUGAGAAACUUGGAUAAUAGAUACAUGUAGUUGCAGAUGGUUUUAUACAAGAAAAACAGGUCUGUUUCCAGUAGUAUCUCACGUAAUAAGAGCUUUAGUCUCCUGAUUUCUUGUGCUGUGGAGUUGUUCUUUGCAGAAAUCUACUUUGAAUUAAUUGGAAGAUUUCCUUUCAGUGGAACUUUGCUUUUAUUCAUCUUACUUCUUUUGCCAGUGUAACAGUAUGACAAAGUAACAGCCAUAAAUGUAUAAUACGCUUGCAUCUUUUAAUAGUAGUGCUCUAUCCACAGAAGUGCCUGUUAAAACACAGUAAUAAUUACCAAAAUCAAAUUAUGAUUUAUGUUAAUAAUAGUGCCUGGCUUAAAUUCCUUAAAACAAGCAUUUUUUUCCCCAAGUUUAAAUUCUCAAAAUGAUCUGGCAUGCCUCCAAAGUUUGUAAGCUGCUUCUGUGUUAAAAACCCAACUUGUUAAAAAUCCAUAGUCUUAGACACAGCGGGAGGAACUGUGACCUCUCCCUGCAAAGUCAUGUGAUAUUUAUCUUGAAUAAAUCACUGAAUAUGAAAAUAAUACAGUAUAAGAAUAGACAUUUAUCUUCAUGAUAGGUUCAGAUCAUCAUCUGAAGAACCACAAAUAUGUAUAGGACUGUUUCCAGACAAGAUCCCUACUUGCAGUAACAAGAAAUACACUGUUUCUUAAACAUGAGGAUAGGGUUUAGAAUUGGUCUUUUUAUAGCACUUUUCAAAGGAAAACGAAUGAACCAAGUAAUGUGAUGGGCUAAAAUACUUUAAGAAUUUUCUUGAAUUAUCAGUGAUUUAGUGUUGCUUUUUCAGCUGUGUGUAUGCUUUUCCACAUCACUGACUUGUGGGUGGGCAAUGUUAGUAAUCUGAAGUACGUUAUAUAAAUGUAAUGUCAUUACAAUAAGACAAUCUAUCUGUGGGUGCACAAUGUCAGUAUAAAUACUCCAUAUAUGUGUAUACAUGUAGAGCCCAAAUGUCCCCAUGUGCUGCAGCUGAAGAGGUGUUUCUGAAAACAUGGGCUGUGGCUGUAUUAAUUAUUUCCACAGUUGUGUUAUUUCUGUAAUUGUAGCAUUCCAAAAAAUACUGGCAAAAUAUGUUAUCCAUUGAUUUUUCAGGUUAACAUAGUUUGCUAAAUAAAAAAGGCAUUUUGACCAAGCAGGAUGUAUUUUAAAUCCAUGAUAUGAAUGCAGUCAUUUACCACAAGGCUUGCCAUAACUUGAAACCAGAAUACCAGCUUAUUAUGUGAUUUCUUCAGUAUAUUUUUAUUGUGUUGAAACUUGGUAGACCGCAGCUAUAUACCAUUCCAGUCAGGCUACACCUCAGUAAGACAUGACUGACUAAAGUUCCGAGUGCCGUUUCUUAAGAGAUGUUGACUUUGAGGUAUUUAAGGAGUUGAAAUAUAAACAUUCAAGCUUUUACAUGCAUUACAAUAUAUUUUCUUCCAAAGAUGUAUCACAGGGUUUGUUGUUUUGUUCUUCUUUUGGUUUUUGCCUUUUUUUUUUUUUUACCAGGAUAGCUAACCUGUUUUAAAACAUACGGAAUUAUUUGGAUAGCCUUUAAGGAAAAGGCUUAAUGAAUGUUUAAUGAUUAGUUAAUCUUAAAACUCUCUGAAGAGCUGAAUAAAAAUACAAUUGAUUUU
ensembl:lncRNA